GGGGGGCGGCCUACCAUGCAAGUCGAGCGGAUGACGGGAGCUUGCUCCUUGAUUCAGCGGCGGACGGGUGAGUAAUGCCUAGGAAUCUGCCUGGUAGUGGGGGACAACGUUCCGAAAGGGGCGCUAAUACCGCAUACGUCCUACGGGAGAAAGUGGGGGAUCUUCGGACCUCACGCUAUCAGAUGAGCCUAGGUCGGAUUAGCUAGUUGGUGAGGUAAAGGCUCACCAAGGCGACGAUCCGUAACUGGUCUGAGAGGAUGAUCAGUCACACUGGAACUGAGACACGGUCCAGACUCCUACGGGAGGCAGCAGUGGGGAAUAUUGGACAAUGGGCGAAAGCCUGAUCCAGCCAUGCCGCGUGUGUGAAGAAGGUCUUCGGAUUGUAAAGCACUUUACGUUGGGACGAAGGGCAGUAAGUUAAUACCUUGCUGCUUUGACGUUACCG
rnacentral:rRNA from 1 species